GUGAUGGAGGGCAGGAAGAGGCCAGGUGGAACCGAAAGGGCGAAGCUUAAAAAAAGGUGGCAGCAAAAUGUGCCAAAUUGACAGAUAUGUUCUCAAGACCAGCUGUGGCCUGAAUGUGAAUUAAACUCCCGGAGUGAAAACAGGGCCCACUCCGGCCCUGCUCAAGCACUUCAACUGGUUCAAAUGAAAAACCAAACGGUGAUGGGCAACGAGGACGCUGAAUGAUGAACAGACGGAUAAAAACAUGAUUCCCCGUGUAAUUUCCUUUGGAUUUAAAGAAUACUCCAAUACAGAUGGCAAACGCAUUGCUACGUGCAGAACAUGUGGAGCCACAAUUUCGGACAGCCAGUCAACCACAUCAAACUUAGCUCGUCACCUGAGGCUGCAUAAGGACAAAUUUGCAGAAUAUCUGAAGAACAAGAUCAUCCCAAGUGAGACAGAGCAGCCGUCCAUUUCUGGAUUCCUUACUGCAAAAGAUAGACAGUACAAUGCUACCCACCCACAACAAAAAGCCAUCACAAAUUCAAUACUAACAGAUUUGGUCAUUGGAUGCAACAUCCCUCUCUCAGUAGUGAACAGAUAUUUCCGGAAUUUUUUGUCAGUUAGUUGGUCUCUCUCACACACACAAACGUACUCAAGUCACGUUCUAUUGUGUUAAAGGCAUGUCAUGUUGUAUGUUGGGACAGUGCCUAACUUCAGAAGGAAAACCAUUCUUUGAUUCUAAAAGUACACAGAUCAUCUGUUAGCUUGGACUUUGAGUUUCAUGUCUUAAAAUGCACAUGAAAAGCAUUUUUAUGUGAAAAAUGACAUGAAUGAAAUGAAAAGAUGAUUUUUGUUACACAGU